rnacentral:rRNA from 1 species
CCAAUAGCGUAUAUUAAAGUUGUUGCAGUUAAAAAGCUCGUAGUUGAAUUUCGGGGUUCAUACGUUGGUCGGGCUUUUUGGUCUGUACUUAUGUAAUGGAUUCCUACCUUCUGAAUAACCGGCAUGCCAUUAAUUUGGUGCGCCGGGGAAGCAGGACUGUUACCUUGAAAAAAUUAGAGUGCUUAAAGCAGGCUAUCGCCUGAAUACAUUAGCAUGGAAUAAUGAAAUAGGACGGCAUGGUUCUAUUUUGUUGGUUUCUAGGAUCACCGUAAUGAUUAAUAGGGAUAGUUGGGGGCAUUAGUAUUCAAUUGUCAGAGGUGAAAUUCUUGGAUUUAUUGAAGACUAACUUCUGCGAAAGCAUUUGCCAAGGAUGUUUUCAUUAAUCAAGAACGAAAGUUAGGGGAUCGAAGACGAUCAGAUACCGUCGUAGUCUUAACCAUAAACUAUGCCGACUAGGGAUCGGACGAUGUUAAUUUUUUAAUGACUCGUUCGGCGCCUUACG